rnacentral:rRNA from 1 species
GACGAACGCUGGCGGCGUGCCUAAUACAUGCAAGUAGAACGCUGAAGGAGGAGCUUGCUCUUCUGGAUGAGUUGCGAACGGGUGAGUAACGCGUAGGUAACCUGCCUGGUAGCGGGGGAUAACUAUUGGAAACGAUAGCUAAUACCGCAUAAUAGUAGAUGUUGCAUGAUAUUUACUUAAAAGGUGCAAUUGCACCACUACCAGAUGGACCUGCGUUGUAUUAGCUAGUUGGUGGGGUAACGGCUCACCAAGGCGACGAUACAUAGCCGACCUGAGAGGGUGAUCGGCCACACUGGGACUGAGACACGGCCCAGACUCCUACGGGAGGCAGCAGUAGGGAAUCUUCGGCAAUGGACGAAAGUCUGACCGAGCAACGCCGCGUGAGUGAAGAAGGUUUUCGGAUCGUAAAGCUCUGUUGUAAGAGAAGAACGAGUGUGAGAGUGGAAAGUUCACACUGUGACGGUAUCUGACCAGAAAGGGACGGCUAACUACGUG